rnacentral:lncRNA from 1 species
CCUCUUAACUUUCCUUUCCUUCUCUCCUUCGUUGCAAACAAGCAACCCAACCCAAACGCGCACCGAACCAGAGAGCGCCCUUCACUUUCGUUUUCUGCGACGAGGAAACACCCGGCGCGCGCCGCCACCUCGGCAAAGGCCCGCCCGGUUCCCCGAAGUGACGUCGCCGGGCGGGGAGGGGCCAGAGCCCUGCCCGCGCGGCGCCUUCUUCUCCGACGGGCGAAUGGCGAGUCCGCGCACAGCGGCUGGAAGGAUGUCGGGCGCCUGGGCGGGCGGGCGGUCGCCGAGCGGGAGCAGCGCCCGGCCCUGCUCUUCGGCGGCACCGUGAAGCGGAGAGAAACCUUCCAUGUCGCCUCUUGGGUAGCCGUCUGGGGGCUUGCAUUCAGCCCAGAGAGUGAUGGAAGAGACCGAAAGUUCAUUCUCCAGCAGGGUGGGACCCUCAUCUUGAGGAAGAAGCCCCAGGUUUUGUUUGCUCCUUUCUACAAAUGGCUUCAAUGGCCUGGGAGGGCAUGGUGAUCUCCUUUGCUUGCUUUUAGAGGUAGAGGCUGACUACAGGGGUAUUUCAUCCACUGCAGGAAUAGGCUGGUUCGCUCUUAAAGCCAGUGAUCAGAUGGUGUGUUUGUUGGAGCAAACCAGCCCAUCCCCGGGAGUGGUCCAAUCCAUACCUUUCCAAGUCCCUGUUAAGGUCUUCUCCUUUUUUGUGCAGAUGGGAUCACCCUGGUGUGGAUCGGUUCCAGUGGGUGGGAUUGUUGGAAACGAUCUGAAGGAAGUGGCCUUUCCAAGUCCCUGUUAAGGUCUUCUCCUGAUGAGUGGCUAUUAUAUAUAAAAUAAUAUUUUACUGUGUCUUAACAGGCCAGUUGAGAAGCUUCCUGUAGUUGACUCUAAGGUAGUGGCUGUUGGCAAUUUGUGGACCAGCCUGUCAGGGGAAGGCAAAGAUGGACUUUAGGAGCAAUUUCUGUGUGAACUGAUCACCCUAAUCAAGCCCAACCAUUCUGAAGAGGCCCACACUAGCUUGUUCUCUGCCACCAAUGUGUGAACUGUCAGGCUUGAUUAGAUCACCCUAAUGAAGCCCAACCAUUCUGAAGAGGCCCACAUUAGCUUGUUCUCUGCCACCAGUGUAGGCCCAUCCUUAGCUUUUCCCAUGGAAAACAGCAUAUCUGACAGUGUUGCUGUCUGACUCAUUUUUUGCAAGACAUCUACUGAGCUGGGCUUUUCUGAUAGUACUCACUCAGAUUAAAAAUAAAGGGA